AUCAACUUUCGAUGGUAGGAUAGAGGCCUACCAUGGUGGUAACGGGUAACGGGGUGUUAGGGCACGACACCGGAGAGGGAGCCUGAGAAACGGCUACCACAUCCAAGGAUGGCAGCAGGCGCGCAAAUUACCCAAUCCCGACACGGGGAGGUAGUGACAAUAAAUAACAAUACGGGGUUCUUUCGGAUCUCGUAAUUGGAAUGAGUACAAUUUAAAUCUCUUAACGAGGAACAAUUGGAGGGCAAGUCUGGUGCCAGCAGCCGCGGUAAUUCCAGCUCCAAUAGCGUAUAUUAAAGUUGCUGCAGUUAAAAAGCUCGUAGUUGAAUUUCGGGACCAAUAUGUCGGUCGUGCUUCGGUACGUACUGUCAUAAUUGGUUUCUCCCUUCUGAAGAACCUUGAUGUCAUUAAUUUGGUGUCUUGGGGAAUCAGGACUGUUACUUUGAAAAAAUUAGAGUGUUUAAAGCAGGCUCGCGCUUGAAUACAUUAGCAUGGAAUAAUGAAAUAGGACGUUUGAUUCUAUUUUGUUGGUUUCUAGGAUCGACGUAAUGAUUAAUAGGGAUAGUUGGGGGCAUUAGUAUUCAAUUGUCAGAGGUGAAAUUCUUGGAUUUAUUGAAGACUAACUACUGCGAAAGCAUUUGCCAAGGAUGUUUUCAUUAAUCAAGAACGAAAGUUAGGGGAUCGAAGACGAUCAGAUACCGUCGUAGUCUUAACCAUAAACUAUGCCGACUAGGGAUCGGAUGAUGUUAAUUUUUUAAUGACUCAUUCGGCGCCUUACGGGAAACCAAAGUGUUUGGGUUC
rnacentral:rRNA from 1 species